AUGGAGCUUGGAGAUUUGACAGAAAAUGAAAACAAAAUUAUGAGGAAAAUGGUAAUAGUAGCCUUAUGGUGCAUACAGAUGAAGCCCACUGAUCGUCCUUCCAUGAGCAAAGUCUUGAAUAUGCUUGAAAGUGAAGUUGAGCUCCUUGAAAUGCCUCCCAAGCCUUCUUUCUCUGGAAAUGUCAACUAAAUAUAGUAAGAAUUCUCCCCGCACACGUGGCAAUCGGCCUUCCUCAGUUAUCUCGUGAUAUUUGUCAUUGGGACACCACUCAACAUUGUGAUCUUGCUAAAUCUGACAACUUCUUCUGUAUUUAGUUUUUUGAAUGGUACGUAGUUUUUGUUUCCACCUAGAUCUAGUAGGCAGUGUUUGUAUUUUCUCUACUACCUUGGUUUGUUUUGUUUCUGCUACUUCUCUAUUGCCCUGUAUGUGACCUCUGAUGGAAUAAAUCAUUUCCUCACUUGUAAAAAAAUUGCAAGAAAAUGUAAUUUUAUUUUUCCCUUAUUUUAUACUGUCAUCCCAAACUCGCAGCACAACAGACGCCACAUACCUGUAAGAUGUAAUCUUACAAACAUGCAAGGGUCCAAUACAUAUACCUUAAAACACUAACUGAAAGACACUAAAAUACCUGAAGAACAAAGUGAUUCAUAAUCGGUAGAAAUUCAAAAAUCAUAAUUCGACAAUAUUCAGAAUUAAGUCUCUAAAACUAUAAAGUUAACAUGUCAAGAUAAAACUCUGAAUACUAAUUUAAGAUAGUUUGAUGUUCAUAAUAUUUAAAUAAAUCCUAGACAACCUAAAUGCUAUUAGAUUAAAACAUCACUCCUUGAAAUUCUCACGUAGUUGACCAAAUCACAACCUAAAAAAAAAAUUGAAAGAAUGAGUGAGUCCAACUACUCGGUAAGUAACAAAUAUCUCACUUCGUACUACAAAAGCCCUCAAAUAUAUGACCAAAAAUGUUAUCGGAAUAUGGAGUUCCAAUGACCCAAAUUUGGAUUGUCAAAACAGUUGAAAACCAAGUUUCUAAUUAAUUUUAAAAAUUCAUAUUUUCUAAACCACAAAACUAAACUAGAUGCUACAAAAACCAUUGGAAAGAUCUUUUCAAGACCUUUCCAUUGGUAACCAUCAUGCCACCGAAAGGUCACCAGAAUAGUGCCGAAUUUGAAUAAAAGUUAAGAAAACAUAAAUAAUUUAGGGCUUUUGUGCCCAACUAUGGAAAUACAACCCUAAACAUACCUUAAUCAGAAAUCCCUUGAAUACUUUUCUCUUUUUUCUAUCUUUCUUCUUCUAUGGUGUUAAGCUUUUCUGACUACCUAUCGUUUGAGUCUGAUGAAAUAAACUGACAUGAGUUUUCUACCUUUUCUUUUAAACUUGUAAACUAACCUAACCUCCACUAUUUUUUUUUUAAACGUGGUUUAGUGAGUUGUGAUCAGGUAAAACAAAUUGACCUUAACCGCACUAACUUAAACAUGAUAAACAAAACUGACAUUAAUUAAACUUCUUUAUUUACUUAAAGACCCCUUUUUCUAUUUUUUAAUUAUUAAGACACUCAAGGUUGUAACUGUAAUUAAAUAAAAUACUAAAACAACAUUUAUUUAUUUAUUUUAUAAAACUAUAGCCUAAUAAAUCUAAAUGUUUUUAUAAUAUAUACUUUGUGAGGGGUAUUACAUCCUUCCCUCCUUAAAAAGGAGUUUAGUUCCUUAAACUCUUACCUUGGUCCUCAAAAAGGCAGGGAUACUUCUUUUUUAUAUUUUUUCUAAAUCCCAAGUCGCUCCUCAUUCUGUAUGAUUACUUCAUUAGAUCUUAACAUAAGGAAUAGUUCGCCUUCUUAGAACUUGCUUCUUUCUAUCCACAACACACAUAGGAUGCUCAUCAUAAGACAAAUCUUCUCUAAGUAUCAAAGGAGCUAACCACACCACAUGACUAGGAUCUGGAACAUAUUUUCUCAACAAAGAAACAUGAAACAUGUUAUGCGCUCUCGAUAAAGCAGGUGGAAGUGCCAACCUAUAAGCCACAUCACCAACCUUAUCCAAAAUCUCAAACGAACCCAUAUAACAAGAACUAAGUUUUCCUCGAAUCCUAAAUUGCAUUACUCCUCUAGUAGGUGAAACUAGCAAAAAGACAUGAUCUCCAACCUCAAAUUCUAUCUUCCUUGUUUUAUUGUUUGCAUAACUCUUCUAUCUACUUUGAGCCGUACGAAGAUGUUCUCUAACUAACUGAACCUUCUCAACUGCUUGUUGAAUAAGAUCUAGACCCAAUAAUUGUCUUUCACCCACAUCAUCCCAACAAAGAGGUGACCUGCACUUCUUACCAUACAAAGCUUUGAAUGAAGCCAUUUGAAUACUAGACUGAUAGCUAUUAUUAUAAGCAAAUUCCGUCCAUGACAAGUGUCGAUCCCAAAAACCUCCAAAAUCCAUGACACAAGCUCUCAACAUGUCCUUAAGAAUUUGAUUAAUUGUCUCGGACUGACCAUCUGUUUGAACAUGAAAAGUAGUACUAAAAUUAAGUCUAGUACCCAAAGAUUUAUGUAGACUCUCUCAAAAUUUCACCACAAAUCGAGAAUCUUGAUCAUAUACAAUGGACACUAGCACCCCAUGCAGUCUCACAAUCUGCUCCACAUAUAACUCCACUAACUUUUCCAAUGACAUUUCCGUACGAAUAGCCAAGAAGUGAGCAGACUUUGUUAAUCUAUCAACAAUCACCUAGAUGCCAUCAUUACCUUUUAGUGUUCUCGGCAACCAGAUAUAAAGUCCAUAGUAAUUCGUUCCCAUUUCCAUUCUAGAAUAAGAAAUGGUUGCAAUAACUCUACUGGCCUCUGAUGUUCAACCUUAAUUUGUUGACAUGUUAAACAUUUGGCUAAAAACUGUGCAAUCUCUCUCUUCAUAUUGUUCCACCAAAAAGUGUUCUUCAAAUCUCGAUACAUCUUGGUACCACCAAGAUGGAUUGUAUAAUUACUAUAAUGAGCUUUCAACAAAAUUUCUCUCUUCAAUUUUGCAUCAUUGGGAACACAAAUUCUAUCACCAAACCUCAAAGAGUCAUCAUCAUGAAUCCUAAAGUCUGGUUUCAAACCAGAAUUAACCCUAAGUUUAAUGUGCUGAAGUCGAAGAUCAUCUACUUGGGCUGUCUUAAUCCGGUGAAUUAAAGUUGGUUGUACUCAUAUGUUAGCCAAUAAUGCUCCAAAACCCUGUAUACAUACACCAAUAUCCAUCCUCCGUAAGUCCUCCAAUAUCUGUUUUUGGGAAGUAAUCAUUGUGGCCAUGUUCCCAAACGUCUUUCUACUUAGAGCAUCAGCAACUCUAUUUGCCUUACUUGGGUGAUAAUUGAUGGUCAAGUCAUAAUCCUUCAACAAUUCUAACCAUCUUCUUUGUCACAUAUUCAACUCCUUCUGCGUGAUAAGAUACUUUAAACUUUUAUUAUCUGUAAAGACCUCACAAGACUCACCAUUCAAAUAAUGUCUCCAAAUCUUUAAUGCGAAACCACUACUGCCAACUUUAAAUCAUGAGUAAGAUAAUUCUCAUCAUAAGGUUUCAAUUGCUUAGAAGCAUAAGCGAUCACCUUAUCAUCCUGCAUAAGAACACACCCAAGUCCCUUUUUGGAAUCAUCACUAUAAACAACAAAUCCCUUACCACUAAUAGGCCUGGUAUGCAUAGGAGCGAAUACUAAUCUUUUCUUUAUCUCCUCAAAGCUCUUUUCAUAAUCAUUUGUCCACUCAAAACAAAUCCCUUUCCAUAUCAAUUUGGUUAAAAGUAAGGCAAUACAAGAAAAAUCCUCUACAAAUUACCUACAGCAUCCUACUAAACCCAGAAAACUGUUAAUCUCAAAAACAUUAUGUGGUCUCUUUCAAUUCACCACUAUUUCAACUUUCUUUGAAUCCACUGAAAUCCCGUCUUUCAACACCACAUGCCCAAGGAAAGCAACACUAAAAAGUCAAAAUUCACAUUUCUUCAAUUUAGCAAAUAACUAUUUCUGCCUCAAAGUCUUCAAAACAACCCUUAGAUGCUCUUUAUGAUCUGCUGAGCUAGGGGAAUACACUAGAAUAUCAUCAAUAAAAAUAACCACAAAUUUAUCCAAAUAAGGUUUAAAAACCCUAUUCAUCAAGUCCAAAAAAGUAACUAGAGCAUUUGUCAACCCAAAAGGCAUAAUAAGGAACUCAUAAUGCCCAUAUCAGGUACGAAAAGUAGUUUUGGGAACAUCCUCAAUUCUCACCUUCAACUGGUGAUAACCAGAUAAAAGAUUAAUUUUGGAAAACACUUAAGUGCCCUUUAGUUGAUCAAAUAAAUCAUAUAUCCCAGGCAAAAGAUACCUAUUAUUCACGGUUGCCUUAUUUAACUCCCGAUAAUCAAAACACAACCUCAUACUCCCAUUUUUUUUCUUCACAAAUAACACUGGCGCUCCCCAAGGAGAUAUACUACAUCUAAUAAAGCCCUUAUCAAGAAGUUCUUGCAACUGCUCUUUCAACUCUUUUAAUUCUAUAAGAGCCAUUUUAUAAGGAGCUUUAGAAAUAAGGUCAGUUUUUGGAACCAAAUCAAUAGAGAAAUCAAUUUCUCUAUUAGGAGGUAAACUAAGUAGAUCUUUAGGAAAAAAUUAGGAAAUUCCCCCAUAAUAAGAACAUCUUCAAUCAUUAACUCCUUCAUUCUAGUGUCUAUAACAGUUGCCAAAAAUCUUUUGUAACCACUAGUAAGCAAUCACCUAGCUUUCAAAGCAAAGAUGACUCGCAAAGGAGUGUAAGAACCACUACCACGAAAAGAAAAAGGUGUUUCCCCGGGAAUCUGAAAGUCUACCCUUUUCCCUCGAUAAUCAACUUUAGCAAAAUUUGCAACUAACCAAUCCAUCCCCAGAAUUAUAUCAAAAUCUUACAUAUCUAAAACAUGAAGAUCUGUAAGCAAUUCUCUAUCUUCAAUCCUUACCACACACAUCUUAUAAAUCUGAUCAGAGAUAAUAUCACCUCUAACUAGAGUGUCUACGCAUAGUUCAUAAUCUAGAAGCAUACAAGGCAAAGCAAACUUUCGAAAAAAUGUAGCAAAUACAAAAGAACGAGAUGCAUUGGUAUCAAACAAUACAUGAGUAAAAGCUGAGGCAACUAGCAGUGUACUUGAGACAACGGUGUUGGAUGCCUCUACAUCCGAUUGAGUGAUAGCAUAAGCACGCCCCUGGGUGCAAGGUCUUCCCACUUUUUGAUGUUCAAAAGAAGGUGUUUGCGUAGUCUAAACAACAUGAGUGGGUUGAGUCCUUUGCGUUGCAGUUUCAAAAGUUCGAGAGUUUUGCGACCUCUGCACAGAUUGAGAUUCUUGAAGGACUAAAGGACAAUUAGCAAUACGAUGGCCCUAUUGUCUACAUUCAGCAGCUCGAUGUCCUCCACCACACACUGAACACCUAGGCUUUUGUGCCCAAACUAUGAAAAUACAACCCUAAACAUAACUUAAUCAGCAAUCCCUUGAAUAUUUUUCCCUUUUUUCUGUCUUUCUUCUUCCUUGGUGUUAAGCUCUUCUGACUGCCUAUCGUUUGAGUAUGAUGAAAUAAACUUGUAAACUAACCUAACUUUCACUAUUUUUUUUUAAACAUGAUUUAGUGAGUUGUUGUCAGGUAAGAUAUACUAACCUUAACCCCACUAACUUAAAUGUGAUAAAUAAAACUGACAUUAAUUAAACUUUUUUAUUUACUUAAAGACCCCUUCUUCUCUUUUUUAAUUAUUAAGGCACCAAAAGUUAAAACUGCAAUUAAAUAAAAUACUAAAAGAACAUCUACUUAUUCAAAAAUGAAUAGUAAAUUUGAUCCAUCAUGUUAAGUAGAUUGGUGGUAAAUUUGAACCUUUUCUCAAACUAUUCUAUGGAGUUUGUUUGUGAAAAUAUGGCAGCACAUGCCCAAAUUAAAUUAGUAAACAACAUACACAUAUUCUAUAAUCAUGUUUUUCAUCUUUGGGUUGGCAAAGAAUGUUUGAGAUUGCAUUGGGAGUGGUUCGAGGUAUUGAAUAUUUACACAGAGGUUGUGAAAUGCAAAUUUUACAUUUUGAUAUCAAGCCACAUAACAUUCUUCUAGAUGAGAACUUCAUCCCGAAAGUUUCAGAUUUUGGCCUUGCAAAGUUGUAUUCAAUGGAUGACAGUAUUGUCUCUCUUACAGCUGCAAGAGGUACAUUAGGAUAUAUGGCUCCUGAAUUGUUCUAUAAAAAUAUUGGAAGCAUUUCAUAUAAUGUUUAUAGUUUUGGAAUGAUGUUAAUGGAAAUUGUCGGAAGGAGAAAAAAUGUGAAUGUCUCUGCUGAACAUUCAUGUCAAAUUUAUUUUCCAUUUUGAAUUUAUGAUCGACUUGAGGAAGGAGAUAUCAUAGAACUUGGAGAUGUAACGGAAAAUGAAAACAAAAUUAUGAGGAAAAUGGUAAUAGUAGCCUUUUGGUGCAUACAGAUGAAGCCCACAGAUCGUCCUUCAAUAAGCAAAGUCUUGGAGAUGCUUGAAAGUGAAGUUGAGCUCCUUGAAAUGCCUCCCAAGCCUGCUUUCUCUGAAAGGUCAACCAAACCAUUAGUUGUAUUAUAAGUAAUAUUUAAUGUUGUACGUUAAGCAAUGUUUCACUACUUUAUCAUACUACUUUUAUAAUUUUUAUAGUAGAAACCUUAAGCUUGAGGCAUAAUCUUCUCUCUUCCAAAAAAAACCAAAAAAAAAAAACAAUAUAGAAUGGUGAGGAAGAAAGUAUAGCAAGGAAAAGAAGGAUACUGAGUUGGAGUUUUGAGCGUGCGAAGGUGUUAUUUUAGAAGAGUUGUAAUGGUAUCUCGUAAGUAUUUUGUCUAUAUAAAAAGUCUUUUGCUCAUAUAAAGAAUAAAGACUUUAAAUAGCAUUAUCGAUAUAUUAUUGCAAAUAAUUAACUUACGUUUUAAAAAAAUUAAAAAUAUUCCUCAACCAUGCUUGGAAUUAUAAUUUUUAUUUAAAAAAAUAAAUUAUUUGAGUUUUAUUUUAAAAAAAUAAAUUAUUUGAGUUUUCUCUCUUAAUUAAAAAGUCAAAUUUUAUCCAAUUCAAAAAUUUAUUUAAAAUGAUUUGAAAUCAAAUUCAACUUAAUUCAAAUUAAAUGACAAAAAUUAAAAAUUUCAAUAUGAAAAUACGUGAAUUUAAAAUGAUAUUAAUUUAAUCCGACACAAUUCAAUGUUAACAUGACUCGAAUCUAAAACGAACCGAGCUCAUAAUGAUCAAAAAUCCAAGAUUUAUUGGAUCCAAAACUUACAAAAACUUAAAUUUAUAACUCCCAAAAAUCCAAAUUAUAAUUAAAUAAUUUUAUUUAAUAAUUAAAUAAGUAAAUGAUUAAUUUUUAAGUGAAAAUUUUAAGACACACAAGCACCUUUUUCUCGUCAAUGCUUCUUCGUUACUCAGAAACAGCUCAUAAGAAUGGCAUGGUCAACUACUCUGCUUCACCUUCACUUCAAAUCCCCUCCGGUUUCUUCUCACCAAUUCCCACAUUCCCCCCCAAAAAUCCCCGAUCUUCCUAAACCCUAACCCUAUAAUUCCCAAACCCAAACCCCCCAAAAUGCAAUUCCUUCACAGGCCCAACGCGUUUCCAGGCCACGGCGCAGUAUCAAGAGCCAUGGACAUCAUCCAAUCCUCACCGCCCACGUGGGAAUCGGCCUUCCUUACCAACAUCCUGAUCUUCGUCGUCGGGACUGCACUUUUAGUAGCGGGGCUUUCUCUCUCCGAAAUUUUCGCUUCCUUCUUGCUUGGCACUCUCACUUGGCGAGCUUUCGGGUCUUCUGGAUUCCUCCUCAUUGCUUCUUACUUCGUUAUAGUGAGUCACUAAAAAGUCUAUGAAUUUUAUUUGAAUUAUGGGAUUUACGUUAAAAUUGGAAAUGGGUUCUGAUUUUCGCUCCCAUUUGGUAUAAAGUUUAUGCUCUGGAUGACAAGUUUCAUUGUUUGGUAUUUUGGCAAAGGAAAAAAAAUUUAGUUUAUGUCAAAAAGAUUUAACGUGAAGUAUUUAGUUAUUUAAGUGUGAUUUGUUUUUAUUUCAAGAAUUGGAUUACACUAGGUGAAAACAGGUCAAAACUAUAACCAAAACAUUUUUCCAAAAUUCUUUUUUAUUUUCAUUUGUUUUCUUCUUGGUGGGGGCAGGUGAAGGGAGAUUUUAUUUGCUUUUGACAUGUUUCUUAAGUAUAAAGUUGAAGUAGAAGAUAAACUGAAUAAAAAAAUAAAAAAAGUUAAAUUAGAUAGAGAGGGUGAAUAUUUACCUAUUAAUGAUAUUUGUGAAAAGAAAGAAAUAAUUUAUAAAAUUACUCUCUCAUAUUCUACUGAAUCAAAUAGUGUAGUUGAAAGGAAAACUAAAACAUUAAAAGAAAUGAUGAAUUAUAUGCUUAUUAGUUCUAAUGCACAUGAAAAUUUGUAGGGUGAAGUUAUAUUAUUUGCAUGUCAUAUUCAAAAUAGAAUUCACUGCAAGAAAACUGAUAAGACACCUUAUGAAUUGUGAAAAGUCUAUUCUUCUAACUUAAAAUAUUUAAAAGUAUGAGAGUGUUUAGCUAAUGUUAUGCUUCUUGAUUUUAAGAAAAGAAAAAUUGACUCUAAGAUGUCCGGUUGCAUGUUUAUUGGCUAUACCAAAUAUAGUGCUGCAUAUAAAUUUCUUGUACUAAAAAAUGAUGUUUUUGAUAAUAAUACAAUUAUUAAAACAAAAAAUGUUGAAUUUUUUUGACAUAUUUUUCUAUUGAGAACUGAUACAAUUUUUCUUCCAUCUUUUAGUGAAAAUGUUUUUUUAAAUGCAAAAUGAUGAUUUGAGAAGAAGUAAAAGACAAAAGAAAGAAAUUUCUUUUUGUAAUGAUUUUUACACUUAUCUUGUAGAUAAUGAUCUUUUAAAUUAUGCUAAUUCAAUUUCUUCUAAAGAAUGUCCAUUUUGAAAAGACGUUAUACAAAAUGAGAUUGAUUCUAUUUUACAAAAUCAAACCCGGGAAUUAAUUUAUUUACCACCUGAAGCUAAGCCAAUUGGUUGUAAAUGGAAUUUUUAAAAAAAAUUUAAUCUUGAUUAUUUUAUUGAUAAAUACAAAAUUAAAUUAGUUGCUAAGGGUUUUACCAAAAAAUAAAAUAUUGAGUAUUUUGAUACUUUUGCUCUAGUAACAAGAAUUUCAUCUAUUUGUAUUUUAAUUGCCUUAGCUUCGAUUUACAAACUUUUUGUUCAUCAAAUGAAUGUUAAAACAGUUUUUUUAAAUGAUGAUUUAGAAGAAGAAAUUUAUAUGACACAACUCGAGGGAUGUGUACUUCUUGGUCAAGAAAACAAAAUUUGUAAAUUAAUUAAAUCUCUAUAUACUUAAAACAAGCACCAAAAUAAUGGUAUGAGAAAUUUGAUUAAAUUCUUGUUAAUAAUAGAUUUUUUACUAUUGGAGUUGAUAAAUGUGUGUACACAAAAACUAUUGAUAACGAAUAUAUGAUUAUUAGCUUAUAUGUUGAUGAUAUGUUUAUUUGUGGUACAUGCAUUGAUGUGGUAAAUAAAACAAUAUGUUUCUUAACUUAUAAAUUUGAUAUGAAAGAUUUGGGAGAAACCAAUAUUAUUUUGGGUGUUAAAGUCAUAAGAUGUGAGAGUGGCCUAAUGUUAACACAAAAACAUUAUAUUGAGAGGUUACUUAAAAAGUUUAGACAUUUUAAUGUCACACUUGUGAAUACUCCUUAUAAUGUUAAUACCCAAUUAAAGAAAAAUAGAGAUGAUAGUAUGGCUCAACCUUAGUAUGCAUAGAUUUUUAAAAGUUUGAUGCAUUUGAUGAAUUAUACUUGACUUGGUAUAGCUUAUGUUAUGUGUAGACUGAGUAAAUAUACAUAAAGUCUCAAUCAAGAUCAUUGAACUGUUUUGAAUAGAGUAAUGAAAUAUUUGAAAUGUACCAUAAACUAUGAUAUUUUAUAUAAUAGAUUUUCCGUUGCAUUAGAAAGGUACAAUAAUGUUAACUUAAUCUCAUAUUCAGAUGAGACAAAAUUCAUGAGUGAUUAUGUAUUCACCAUUGGUGUGGAUGCUGUUACUUAGAAAUUAGUCAAAUAAAUAAUAAUUACUAAAUCUACAGUGGAAUCAGAAUUUAUAGUUUUAGAAUUAACUAGUAAUGAGGUUGAAUAGUUAAGAAACCUCUUAACAGAUAUUUCAUUAGAAAUGAAACCAACACCUUCUGCGUCUAUGUAUUGUGAUUGUCUAACGGCAAUAAACAUUGUGAAGAAUAAAACUUUCAAUGGUAAGAAUAGACACAUUUGUUUAAGAUAUGAUGUGGUAAAAUAAUUACUUAGAGAUGAAAUUAAUGUCCAUUAAUUAUACGAAGUCAUAUACCAAAAAAUAUAAAUUAUGAAACCGAUGAAUCCUUUUAGAACUAUUAUUUUGCAUUUCAAUAAGUCCAUGGUGGAAUUUUAAGACUGCACAAAUGAAUUCAUAGGAUUGUUUAAGUGAUUUUAUUUAUAUGUUAUUGCAGACAGAUUACAAAAAUUCCUUUCCUGUUAGUUUCGUUAUCAAUCAGUUCAUACGUUAUUUUCUUCAUUAAUUCUUGUUUGAGUGGAAAAUCAUCUCAGAGCUAUGAUUGGCUUGUGUUGAAGUUGUUGGAUUGAAUUAAUUAGUUGACUGGACUGACUUUUCAAACGAAGACGAGUGAGGGAGAAAGACCGCACCAUUAAAAGUUGACUGACUUUUCAGUUACCGCAUGAAACCGUACAACUCUCAGACGUGAGUCUGAAAAAUGUGCAAUUUUGCUAAUAUAUGCAUGUGAUAUUUUUGUCCAAAAUAUUAUCAAAACAAAUUGUAUAGAACUGUGAAAUCCGUAAAAGUUGUUUGCAAAAAGGUUUUUAACAGCACAAGUUAAAGAAAAAAGGUCAAAGGAAGAUUUGAUUUCAAUUACAGCCACAGAAAUAAUUAACAAAGCAAUAAAGAUAACAUUAUCCUAACUCUUAUUUAAUCUCUCUCGUUAAACUUUGUUAUACUUAAUUCUCCUAAAAAAAACUUUUUUAUACUUACAAAAAAUAAAUAUAAGAUAUGGAGAUUGAUCAAUUUUAUUUAGAAUUAUUAUUUUAUAUAUUUGCAAUGAAAUUUUGAAAUUCCAAAUUUCAUAACAUUAUUUAAGUCAUAUUAUAUAUCUACAUAUAUAUAUAUUAUGUUAAGGGGUAUAUUGAUCUCACUAAUGUGCAGAUAUACUUGGAUGAAUUACCCAUGAGUGCUAUGGUAGGCUUUGUGUUAAAUGUGUUUUCUGGUUUGGGUUUAAUUAGUUGUCUGACUUUUCAAAAGAAGACUUGGUUUUAACAAUAAAUAUAAGAGAACAUCAUAGUGCUUCUUCACAAACUAAUUAAGCCCUUAAUCUCCUUCUCUCCCACUGAAAUUUUAGGAUGCUAAGAGCAAAGCUUCCAUUAUUCGGCCUUCUGGCCCUUGCUUUAUCUCUAUUCCCUGAUGCAUGCAUCGCUAGAGGCAAACACAAGCACUGUGGCUCUUCUUUCUGUGGAAACAUUAAUAUCACUUCCCCUUUUCGAUUAAAAAGUCAGCCUCGAAGUUGUGGUUACAAUCGUUAUGAACUAGUAUGCGAGAAUAACCGCACCAUUUUCCCCAUGAAACAUGGGAAUUUCUAUGUCCAACACAUCUCUUAUAGUGACGAAACCAUUCAACUGUUAGACGUGAGUCUUGACAAGGAUAACUUUUUUAUACAAUGAAUUUAUAAGAUUGCUUGAAUGAUUUUAUUCCUAUUUGAGUGGAAAAUCAGCUAAGAGCUAUGAUUGGCUUGUGUUAAAGUGGUUGGCUUUAAUUUGUUGACCUGACUGACUUUUCGAACGAAGACAAGUGAGCAAGAAUAACCACACAUUUUCCCCAUGAAAUAUGAGAAUUUCCAUGUGGAAAAAGCCAUAUAAGUCUUAGAGGUGAGUCUUACCAAGCCACUCGGUAGGAGAUAGGGUAUACAUCUCCCUCAUCAUAAGUAUCCAUGCACGUCAAUAUAGGGUCAUGUGUAUCUCUUAAAUUGCAGGAUGAAGAUGAAUUCUUCGGUUUACAUUGAUGCUUUCCAUUGCACCAAUCGAUGUUCCUCUCCACGCUAUUUUGUUUCUUCAGUCAAAUUAUUGUCUGGUUAACAACUAAUGGAAAUGUAAGGACGGAAUAUUCACGUGAUAUGUUGCAUAAUUUAUACUAUAAUAUUUUAUCAUUGUUAACGGCACAAUUUGAUAAAAAGAUCAAAAUGAAAUCAUUGUAUUAUAUUUUGUGUAAAAUGCAUAAAAAAAAAGAAUUCUAAAUUUNNNNNNNNNNNNNNNNNNNNNNNNNNNNNNNNNNNNNNNNNNNNNNNNNNNNNNNNNNNNNNNNNNNNNNNNNNNNNNNNNNNNNNNNNNNNNNNNNNNNNNNNNNNNNNNNNNNNNNNNNNNNNNNNNNNNNNNNNNNNNNNNNNNNNNNNNNNNNNNNNNNNNNNNNNNNNNNNNNNNNNNNNNNUCUAUACUUAACAAAAGAUAAAUGUAAAAUAUAAAAUUGAUCAAUUUUGUUUAGAAUUAUUAUUUUAUAUAUUUUGAAAUUUUGAAAUUUCAAAAUAUAUAAUAUUAUUUAAGUCGUAUUAUAUAUUAUAUUAUUGAAGGCUUAUAUUAAUCUCCCUACUGUGCAGAUAUACUUGGAUGAAUUAUAAAGAUGUCUUUUCUAUCAGUUUCGCUACGUACCAAUUGGUUGGACACAUAUUUUAUUCUUUCUUAUUUGUUUGUGUUAAAAGUGUUUUGCGGUUUGGGUUUAAUUAGUUGACUGACUUUUCAGAAGAAGACUUGGUUUUAAUAAUAAAUAUAAGAGAACAUCACAGUACUUCUUCACAAACUAAUUAAGCCCUUAAUCUCCUCUCCCGCUGAAAUUUUAGGAUGCUAAGAGCAAAACUUCCAUUAUUUUGCCCCUUGGCUUUUGCUUUAUCUCUAUUCCCCGAUGCAUGCAUGGCUAGGGGCAAAAACAAGGACUGUGGCUCUUCUUUCUGUGGAGAAGUUACCAUCAAAAAGCCCUUUCAGUUAAAAAGCCAACCUCUCAGGUGUGGAAACCGUGGGCUUGAAGUCGAGUGUGACGACAAUAACCGCACCACUUUCCCCAUGAAAUAUGGGAAAUUCCUUGUCCAAGACAUCUCUUAUAAUAACGGCACAAUUCAUAUUAUAUUAUAUUUUUAUGUAUGUUUGUAUCUAUAGUAUUAGUUGUUUAAACUUUUUGGGUGCAAUUCUUUUUCAUAUAUAAUUAACAGCUUUUAUAAAACAGCAGUCUUUGUCACUAUAUAUGCUUGUAAAUCUCUCUUUAACUGCAAUUUUUUUGUCCAAAAUACUUCUAAUAAAAGAUUGUAUAGAGCAGCCAAAUUUGUAAAGUUCUAUCCUAAUUAAAACACUUUCAAUAACAUCUUAAAAAAAUUAAAUGCCAAAGUUAUUGUAGUGUGUUUUUCCCCUUUGGCUCUAGACUCUAGUUUAUUAAAUUUUCAAAGGAAGAUUUGCUUUCAUUUGCAGCCACAGAAUGAUAAGCAGAGCUACCAAGAUAAGAUUAUCUUAGUUCUUAUUUAAUCUUUCUUUUCAAACUUUUUUAUGCAUAUAAAAAAAUGUGAAAUAUGGACGGAUUAGUUCUUUUAGACUUAAUAGGUUGAUGGUGAAAUUUUAAGACUACACAACAUAUUUAUAGGAUUGUUUUUUAUUUAUAUUUUAUUGGGGGUUAAUAUUAGUCUCCCAACUUAGACGAAUAACAAAAAUUCCUUUGCUAUCAAUUUCGUUAUCAAUCAGUUGCAUACGUUAUUUUCUUCACUUAAUUUCUAUGUGGAAAAAGCCAUAUAAGUCUUAGAGGUGAGUCUUGACAAGGAUAACUGCUCCAUUCCUUAUAGUUCCUAUCCUUGCUACAGCCCUUGUGGAAAAAGCCUAUCACUUGGUAGAAGAUAUGGUAUACAUCUCCCUCGUCAUAUGUAUACAUGCACCUCAAUAUAGGGUCAUCUAUCUCUUAAAUUGCAGGAUGAAGAUGAACAUUUGGUUUACAUCGAUGCUUCUCAUUCCACCAAUCGGUGUUCCUCUACAUCUUCUUUUGUUUCUUCGGUAUUUUACAUUGUUAAUGGGACAAUUUGAUAAAAAGAUCAAAAUAAAAUUGUUUCAAAAUAUUAUACACAUGAAAAAAUAUUACGAAUUUAAUUUGAUUACUUUAUUGCGAAAGUUGCAAAAAUAAUUGUAGAAGCAUGUAUAAUGAUUAUGGGCAUUAUUUGAAUAGAUAUUUUUCUCCUUUUUCGCGUCCGACUGAUCGUAACUUAUCUUCAAAUUCAAAUAAAAAAGAAAAAAAAUUCAAGACUGAGAGUAUUUUAGAUAGUCAUUCAAGAGCUUGACUGAUUUCAUAUUGGUCUGUGCAACAAAUUUGCAAAUUUUUUAAAAGACAACUUUGAACUUUAGACAUGCAUAAUUUUUUUAAUACACAGGGAAAAUGUAUAUAUAAAGUACAAGGAAAGAUAUAUCUAUAUAAAUUAAAUUAAUUUUACACACCCUUUUAUAUUUUUUUAUACAAUUUAUAUUUUGUUAAUCCAAUCAUUGAUUUCAAAUUAUAUUCACAUAAAUCAUGCAUAACAGAUUUCAAAUUAAUUAAAACUGAUUAACUAUUUAUUUGAUAAAAAUAAAAUUUCAAUUGUUAAAUAUAUUGAAAAAAUAAACAUUUUACCAAAUUGACUUUGAAAUUACAUGAUAAGUACAAGUUGUUAAAUCUAACAAUAAAAUAUUAAUUUUUAAAGAAAUUAUAAAAAAUGUAAAACUAAUUAGUUUUACGCAAAAAAAUUAAUUUAUUGUUAUUUAGGCUUUUGUGUGCAAUUUUUUCAUAUUUAACAGUAGUUGAAAAUAUGCGGUCUUUACUAAUAUAUGCAUGUGAUAUUUUUGUCCAAAAAUUACCAAAAACAUAUAGAACUGCGAAAUCCGUAAUGUUGUAUGGAAAAGGAUUUUUAACAACACAAGCGAAAGAAAAAAUUUAAUAAAUACAAAGUUAAUAUAGUUUGUUAUUUCCACUUAUUCAAAGGAAGAUUUGAUUUCAAUUGCAGCCACAGGAAUAUUUAGCAAAGCAAUGAAGGUAACAUUAUCCUAACUCUUAUUUAAUCUUUCUGGUUAAACUUUUUUUUACAUAAUAUUCCCAAAAAAAAACUUUUUAUACUUAUAAAAAUUAAAUAUAAGAUAUAUGGAGAUUGAUCAAUUUUACUUAGAAUUAUUAUUUUAUAUAUUAGCAAUGGAAUUUUGAAAUUCCAAAUUUUAUAACAUUAUGUAAGUCACAUUGUAUUUAUUUAUUUAUUGAGGGGUUAUAUUAGUCUCCCUACCGUGCAGAUAUGCUUGGAUGAAUUAGAAAGAUUUCUUUUCUGUCAGUUUCGUAAUGUAUCAAUUGGUUGGACACAGAUUUUCUUCUUUCUUGUUUGUUUGUUUGCGUGGAAAAUCACCCAUGAUUACUAUGAUUGGCUUUGUGGUAAAAGUGUGUUGCGGUUUGGGUUUAAUUAGUUGACUGACUUUUCAAAAGAAGACUUGGUUCUAACAAUAAAUCUAGGAGAACAUCAUAGUGCUUCUUCACAAACUAAUUAAGCCCUUAAUCUCCUUCUCUCCCGCUGAAAUUUUAGGAUGCUAAGAGCAAAACUUCCAUUAUUCGGCCUUCUGGCCCUUGCUUUAUCUCUAUUCCCUGAUGCAUGCAUCGCUAGAGGCAAACACAAGCACUGUCGCUCUUCUUCCUGUGGAAACAUUAACAUCACUUACCCUUUUCGAUUAAAAAGCCAGCCUCAUAGGUGUGGUUACAAUGAGCUUGAACUAGUGUGUGAGAAUAACCGCACCAUUUUCCCCAUGAAAUAUGGUUAUGGGAAUUUCUAUGUCCAACACAUCUCUUAUAGUAACAAAACCAUUCAAAUGUUAGACGUGAGUCUUGACGAGGAUAACUGCUCCAUUCCUCAUAGUUCCUACCCUUUCUACGUGGAUGCACUAAAUAUAUAUUCCUAUCAAACUACCACUGAACCUAGCAUCAUGUAUCUCGUAAAUUGCCCGAUCCAGAUCAACAACUCUUGGGUUUAUAUUGAUGCUUUUCGUUGUACCAAUACCCCUUCCUCUCGACCUCCUUACUUUUACUUUUUGGAUGAAAAUACUGCAAUGUCUAAUUUCCAUGAGUCAUGCACAGUUGAAGCGCAGGUUCCAAUCAUGGUUGCCAAUAUCACUGGCCUCUCUACUUUUGAUAUUUACACAAAGCUGUUGGAGGGAUUCCAACUCUCAUGGUCUUCGUAUGAUGAUAUGUCAAGGUGAGACUCAGUUUUUAACGCGUGAGGAUUUUUAAGUAUUCCAAACUAUUUGGUGCAUUUUAGUUUUUGAAAAGUAUUUAUUAUUUUUAGUUUUUAAUUUUUAAAUUACCUUUUUAACUAUGUAUAUAAAUUUUUAUAAUUAGAAUCACAAAUUUUUAUUACUGUAGUAUCUUCUUCAGACUUUGAUUAUUUACUUUUACUCUAAAUUUGUUUAAUGUAAAAUUUAAACAGAAGCAUUUAAAAUAUUUUAAACAGUGAAAGUGCGCAUUUCAUGGCCUUAUUAAGGAUAACGGUUUUGAUGUGCUUUCUUGAAUAUUAAUUAUAGAUUGCUCUGGCUGUUGCUGCAUCCGCUGCAAAUAUAUAUUCAAAGCAUCAUGGCUUUGUUUCAACCAGAUUAUUUCUAUGCACCUUAUAAAGGUAUUCGUUCUUUUUUGAGUUCAUUAAUAAUUUGAUUCUUAUUGGAUUGGCCUUUACUUUCCUGUAUAGUUGACUUGACUCUUUACGUGCAUCAUAAGUAAACUGUUAAAUUUAAUAGUUGGUUUAUUAAAAUAUUAAUAGUAUACGAAGUUAUAAAAAAUUUAUAAAAAUUAAUUAAUUAAUUUUAUAGUGGUGUUGUGUGAGUAUCGCAUAUAUGUAUACGUAUGUAUCCAAGUGACUACAUAAAAGAAGAUCCAUCAUAAAUGAUUCAUAAAUAAUUUUGAACUACAUUAAUUGGGUAUUUUUUAACUAGGUAUUUUUAUGAUGUUGUGAUUUUUUUGGUCAAAAUAAAAAUUAUGUGGAAUAAGGUCUAAAUUUACCAUUCUAUAUAUUUCGGAUAAUGGAUCAAACUUGUCAGCAUCUUUGAACGGGUGUAAUUUUGCCAUUAUACUUUUAAAUUAGUUAAAAAUGUAAUCAAAAGUUAAGACUAAUGUUAAUUUUUGACCAUUUUUGAAGUAAAUUAAAAUGUAUAAUGGUAAAAAUUGCACUUGUUUAAAAAUAAAAUAAUAAAUUUGAUCCAUCACCUUAAAUAAACUAGUGUGUGUAAAUUUAAAUUUUAUCCCAAAUUAUGUUAUGAAUUUUGUUGGGGAAAAUAUGGCAGCACAUACCCAACUUAAAUUGGUAAAUGACAUAUGCAUAGCAUAUAAUCAUGUUGUCCAACUAAUUAAUAUAUAUAUUGUUAUGUAAUUUUUUUUUUGUGAAACAGGAAUUAUAUUGCUAAGAACACUUUUGGGGAUAAUUUGCUUGAUUAUAUUGGUUAUACGCAAAUUAAAAAGGAGGCAUUUGUCGAUGGAUGACAUGAUUGAGAAUUUUCUUCAGAGUCAAAACAAUUUAAUGCCUAUAAGAUAUUCUUAUUCUGAAAUAAAAAGAAUGACGGAAGGUUUCAAGAAUAAACUAGGACAAGGAGGAUAUGGCUCUGUGUUUAAAGGAAAACUUCGAAGUGGUCAAUUUGUUGCGGUAAAAUUGUUAAACAAAUCAAAAGCUAAUGGUCAAGAUUUCAUCAAUGAAGUUGCAACUAUUGGAAGAAUUCAUCAUGUUAAUGUAGUAAGACUCAUUGGAUUUUGUGUGAAGGGAUCGAAACAAGCUCUUGUAUAUGACUUCAUGCAAAAUGGAUCCUUAGAUAAAAUAAUAUUUUCAACUGAAAGUAACACUUUGAGUUGGCAAAAAAUGUUUGAGAUUACAUUGGGAGUGGCUCGAGGUAUUGAAUAUUUACAUAGAGGUUGUGAAAUGCAAAUUUUACAUUUUGAUAUUAAGCCACAUAACAUUCUUCUAGAUGAGAACUUCAUCCCGAAAGUUUCAGAUUUUGGCCUUGCAAAAUUGUAUUCGGUGGAUGAUAGUAUUGUCUCUCUCACGGCUGCAAGAGGUACAUUAGGAUAUAUGGCUCCUGAAUUGUUUUAUAAAAAUAUUGGAAGCAUCUCAUAUAAAGCUGAUGUUUAUAGUUUUGGAAUGAUGUUAAUGGAAAUUGUCGGAAGGAGAAAAAAUGUGAAUGUCUCUGCUGAACAUUCGAGUCAAAUUUAUUUUCCAUCAUGGAUUUAUGAUCGACUUGAAGAAGGAGAUAACAUAGAGCUUAGAGAUGUAACGGAGAAUGAAAACAAAAUUAUGAGGAAAAUGUUAAUAGUAGCCUUUUGGUGCAUACAGAUGAAGCCCACAGAUCGUCCUUCAAUGAGCAAAGUCUUGAAGAUGCUUGAAAGUGAAGUUGAGCUCCUUGAAAUGCCUCCCAAGCCUGCUUUCUCUUGAAAUGUCAACCAAAUCAUUUGGUGUUGUAUUAUAAGUAAUAUUUAAUAUUGUAUGUUAAGCAAUGUUUCACUACUUUAUUAUAUUACUUUUAUAAUUUUUAUAGUAGAAACCUUAAGCUUGAGGCAUAAUCUUCUCUCUUCCAAAAAAAAACAAAAGAAACAAAAACAAUAUAGAGUGGUGAUGAAGAUAGUAUAGCAAGGAAAAGAAGGAUACUGAGUUGGAGUUUUGAGCCUGCGAAGGUAUUAUUUUAGGAGAUUUGUAAUGGUAUCUUGUUAGUAUUUUGUUUAUAUAAAAAGUCUUUUGUUCAUACAAAGGGCAAAGACUUUAAAUAGCAUUGUCUAUACAAUCAUUAUGUUAAUGCAAAUAGUUAACCAAGUUUUUAAAAAAAUUAAAGAUUUUUCUAAACCAUGUUUGGAAUUAUAAAUUUUUUAUUUAAAAAAUGUAAAUUAUUUGAGUUUUCUCUCUUAAUUAAAAAAGUCAAAUGUUAUCGAAUUCAAAUAUUUAUUUAAAACGAUUCAAAAUCAAAUUCAAUUUAAUUCAAAUUAAAUGACAAAAAUUAAAAAUUUGAAUCCAAAAAUAUGUGAAUUUAAAAUGAUAUUAAUACAAUCUACCUUCAACAUAACUCGAAUCUAAAACGAACCGAGCUCAUAAUGAUCCAAAACCCAAGAUUUAUUUGAUCCAAAACUUAUAAAAACUUAUAUUUAUAACUCCAAAAAAUCCAAAUUAUAAUUAAAUAAAUUUAUUUAAUAGCUAAAUGAGUAAAUGAUUAUUUUUUAAGUGAAAAUUUUAAGACACACAAGCACCUUUUUCUCGUCAAUGCUUUUUCUUUGCACAGAAAAAGCGCAUAGGAAUGGCAUGGUCAACUACUCUGCUUCACCUUCACUUCAAAUUCCCUCCGGUUUCUUCUCAUCAAUUGCCACAUUCCCUCCCCAAAAAAUCCCCAAUCUUCCUAAACCCUAUCCCUAUAAUUCCCAAUUCCAAACACCCCAAAAUGCAAUUCCUUCACAGACCCAACGCGUUUCCAGGCCAAGGCGCAGUAUCAAAAGCCAUGGACAUCAUCCAAUCCUCUCUGCCCACGUGGCAAUCGGCCUUCCUCAGCAACCUCGUGAUCUUCGUUGUCGGAACCCCACUUUUAAUAGCGGGACUAUCUCUCUCCGGAAUUUGCGCUGCCUUCUUGCUUGGCACUCUCACUUGGCGCGCUUUUGGGUCUUCUGGGUUCCUCCUCGUUGCUUCUUACUUCGUUAUAGUGAGUCAUUACAAAGUCUAUGGAUUUUAUUUGAAUUAUAGGAUUUAAGUUAAAUUUAGAAAUGGGGUUCUGAUUUUUGUUCCCAUUUGGUAUAAAGUUUACGCUUUGGAGGACAAGUUUCAUUGUUUGGUAAAUAUGGCAAAGGAAAAGAAAUUUAGUUUAUGUCAAAAAGAUUUCAUGUGACGUAGUUUGUUAUUUAAGUGUGAUUUGUUUUUGUUUAAAGAAUUGGAUUACACUAGGUGAAAUCAGGUCAAAACCAUAACCAAAAUAUUUUUUCCAAAAUUUCUUUAUUUUCAUUUGUUUUCCUCUUGGUGGGGGGCAGGUGGAGGAGCCAGGGAGAAUUUAUGGGUUCUCGCAGUUUUAGACUAGUUUGAAACGAUAUAGUAUUGUUUUUCCUGCUUUCCUUUCUGAUAAUGGCUUGUUUUACUUGCAAAAUGAAUCUUGAAUUAGUUCCUCCUUCCCUCUUCUGAUUUUCCCUACCCAUAUUUCUAGUUGAAGAUAAUAGUUUCAAAUCAUGCUUGAAAACUAUAUUACAAAAUACUUGUAAUAUCAAACAAUUUUGUGUGGCAUUCGAGUUUCUAAUUUGAAUGGAGAAAUAAUUGGGAUGGAAGUGGUAUUAAAUUUAGAGGAAAGAAACAAGAAUGCCUUUUGCAACAUUACAAAGAAAAGAAAAGAAAACCUAGUAUAAAACUUCGGAAGAUGCUUGAUUAUAAGGUGCUGGGCUUUUGAGGACCUGAGACUUCAUAAUACUUUAUAAUUCUCUAGAUCUUCAGGCAAUCUUACAGCUCUUUGUCAUGCCUCUAAAACAAAUGCGGUAAAACCAUGCUCAAUUGUUCAAAUUGUUAUGCUCAAUUGAGAACUCCUGACCUGUUAUGUGUGUGUGGAGAUGAUAACACCAAUGAAUGGCCUUGUUAUACGGAUGACCGCUCAUGAUAAUUGCUACUUCAAAAAUUAUUGGCUUAGAUUUUGCUGCUGUGUUUUGAAACUUGUUGGCAUGCCUCACGAAUGCUGCGAAAUGUGCAGAAGGUUUCUGAGAUCUUGCUGCCAUCUAAGAAGAAAGAAUAGGUGAAAUUGUACAGGUACUAUGAAUAUGAUGUAAUGUUUAGCUUUUUUAUAGGGACUUCCUUUUUGUAUAGUGAACUUGGUUGCAUUGGAAUGAGUCUGUUCUCUGGGAAGAAUCACUGUUCUGAAAUUUGUUAAGUCUGAUCACAAUUGCAACCAGGAGCGGCAUGCCUUGCUUUUCUUCUCAUAGGGCAUGAGGGUAUCCCAUCAGGGUUCUUUUUGUGAACCCCUCUUAUGAAAUAACAUCUUCUAUGCCUUUCCAAAAAAAAAAAAGUAACAAUCACAUGGCAUAAUUUUUUCUUACAAUAUGAGAGUACUACAUCAGAGUUUCUUAAUGCACUAAGAAAAGUUAGAGAUAAGGUCUAAGAAAAUAUCAAUUUCAAGAAGAAACAAAUAACACUAGAAUCAUAUUUUACAAAAAUAUCAUAAUUGAGUCAUGUAUAUAAAUAAUUUUGAUGUAUGAGGAAAUUAUUAAUUUAUAUAUCAAGUGAGAUCUAUGUGUUUUUUUUCAAAAUGUAUUAUCUUAUUAAUUUAACAAAUUAUUAAUUUAUCAUGUUGAUCUCAAAUCAGGACCAACCAAAAUUAAUAUUUAUUCAAAAUUAUUAAUUUAUCAAGUAUUAUUUAUAGAAGAUUUGUUGUACUUCUUUGUAAUUCACUCUAAAUAAAAGGGUAUGUUGAAACAAGCGGAAUUUAGAUCCCUUAUGGUUCUUGCUACAUUUAAGUACUAUUAAUGUCAUUUAUGCUGGUUAUAAAGAUCUGACAUUUUAUUUAGAAACAAAAUUUGUAGAGUGUCAAGCUUUAAUAGCUUUUUUUUUUUGUUGCUUUUUAAUGUUUAUAUUCGUUGCUAUAUACUAUUUUUUUCCCUAUCAAACCAUUCUUUCAUGCUUACAAAUUUAAAUUUGUGGUGUGCAAAAAUUGUUGGUGUAUUUUCAAAAAUCAAAGGUUAUGUCACAUAAUCAAAAGCUAUCUUAGCUCAAAGGUUUGUCACAUAAAGUGACAUAGUGUGACUAUUGGAUUGUAGACAGGUUAUNUUGGUGUAUUUUCAAAAUCAAAUGUUAUGUCACAUAAUAAAAAGCUAUUUUAGCUCAAAGGUUGUCACAUAAAGUGACAUAGUGUGACUAUUGGAUUGUAGACAGGUUAUUGUUUCAUUAGAUAUGAAAAGUUAUUGUUUCAAAUUAUAACUCAAAGAUUAUGAUUUAUGGAAUGAAUAGUUGUCCUUUCAUUAGAUGAUUAUUGAAACAAUACAUUUAUCUUAAAGUUGUGUCUAGCAAAAUGUAAAGAUGUCUUUUAGACAAAAUGGUGUCUUAAUAAAAGGGUUGUGUCCUUGAAGAAGAGACACUUGCAAGCCUAUGUAAAGGGCUUGUUGCCAACCAUUUUUACACAUCAAAUCAAAAACAAAACAAGAACAGAAAAUCAAGAGUAAGAAAGUGUUGUGUUCUAUUAACAUAAACACUUAAGUUCCCAUCAACUACAAAAGCAUCAAAAUUUCUUAUAAUCUACUUGUUGUAGAAAGUAAGCUCUAAAGCCAAACAACUUUGCAAACCCUUAGAUAUAUCUAGUGGUCUACUCUCGUAAAGUGCAAGACAAAGUUAAACGUUAGCUUCAUUGUAUCCUUAAAACUAUUCGCAUUAUUUCUCUUUGCAUACUGAGUGGUGGGGAUGAAAUAAGUUUUAAAAAUAAUGUCUAUUGAAAAGCUCGCCUUAAAAUCAAUUUUGUUGGUUCUUAAAUUUCAUCUAAACCUCAUUUGCACCAACAAAAAUGAACAGGUACCUACUUUACUUUAUUAUUCUACUUUUAUUAUAUAAUUUUUAUAGUCUCCUUUUUCAUCUUAUAUACGGAAUCAGAUCCAUAUAGAAACCUUAAGCUUGAGGCAUAAGCUUCUCUCUUAUGAAAAUAAAAUAAAAUAAAAUAAAAUAAAAAUCAAGAGCAGUAUAUAUACCAUUGUGAAUGAAUAAAGUAUAAAAUCAUAGUGCCUUUUGAGAUACAAAACAUUGUGAAUGCGACAAGAAGUAUUAGUUGUAAUGUGUUAAUGGUCAUUUUUAAAUCAAAUUAAAAAUGUUACUAUUAGCAAUAUCAAGAAUUGCCAAGGAGAAAUUCAUUGAUAAAAUGACAAAUACCCGAAUUCUCUUCAUUGGCAACUUUACUAAAAAUCACUUUCAACGAAAAAAAAUUAGUAAAAGAUCUUCCAUAUUAUCUCUAUAUAUAGUAUAAUAUCAAAAUUUAGUAUUCUAAAAAUUUUAUUUUAUGCUGUUUUAGUACUAACAUAUUUUAAACAAUAUCAUUGUUUAUAUUAUUAUUACACGGACACUACUUACAUAUAAUAUAUAUAUAUAUAUAUAAAAGAUAAUAGCAUUGUUAGCUUUAUUAGAAUGAAUAAUUGAUUUUUUUUAAAAAUAGAAUGAAUAAUCUAACGAGAUGAAUUGGAUUUUAAAAACUUUUUUUGACAAAAUAAAAUCUAAAAAAAAAACACAUCAAAUAAUAAAAUCAAAACCAUUAAAUAAAUAUUUAACUGAAAAUAAAUGUAAUAAAAAUAAAUAGUAUAGGGUAAAAAUAUUUGCAAGAACCAUUUAUAAAGGUUCAAUCUUGUCUCUUGGUAUUUAUGUCACAAGUCUACUUUCUAAUCCAAAAGACAUGCAUAUUAAGUAAAGAUAGACAUUUAUUUAUAAAUCCAAGACUCAACUCAUCUCUUAUUAAUGUAAGAUCUAUCACAUUCUACCUCACCUAAUUGUUCAAUACGUUCGUUGCAUCGGCUCCUUUACUCAUAGAGGAGAGGGACCGUAUCUUGAUCUAAGUCUACCUCGAACCUGAUAUCUUUUAUAAAAGUUUCAUACUAGUUAAGAGUUAAGUUUGCUCUAAUACCACUAAUCACGAGUUCACAUUUCUAAUCCAAAAAAUAUACAUAUUAGAUAGAGAGAGGCCCUUAUUUGUAAAUCAAGACCCACCCAUAUGACACUUACAUUCUCUCUCUUAGUGUAGUAAAGAGUUCAAUACACUACUUAAUUCAACCAAUACAAAUACUAUUUUCUUGCGUAUCCAAAACAUGCAAAAAAUGCUCUACUUCCCUAUGUGAUACCUCAGAUGAAAUAAAUUAUUUCCUCAUCUUUAAAAGAAAAUACAAUAAUUGUAAAUUUUAUUUUUCUCCUAUUUUAUGUAACAGCCUCAACUUUGACUAAGGUUAUAAAUUACUUGUGUUGAACCAUUUGAUAACUUGCCAUGAGAUUUAAACAUAUGUAUUAAAUAUAUGAACAAAUGACAAUGUGUUUAAGGAUCUUGAAUGAUAAACUAUUAGGGUAAAAUACCCUUACCCCUCUAAGUUUUGAUUGAAAUUACAUGGAGGUCCAUUAGUUUUCAAAAUAGACACUCCGCCCCAAAAAAAUAUUUUUCACUGGACAUUUAGGUCCAGUUGUUAGUCAACCAUUAGUGUUUCCGUCAAUUUGAUGAUGUGAUAAGGGUAAAAACAUAAUUUCACCAUUGAUUAAUUUUUAAAAUUACUAUUAUAUAAUUUUAUUAAUUUUUUAAUUAAUUAAAAUAAAAAAGCUCCUCAAGGAGCAUUAAAGCUCCCUGGGAAGCACCAAUCGGGUGCUCCCCUCCCUUGAGGAGCACGAUGCUCUCUUUUUUAAAAUUUUUUUAAACAUAUAAUAUAAUUUUUAAAAUUUAUAUAAAAAAAAGAAAAGACAUUUUAGUCUUUUCCUAAUCUCUAUUAACGGUAUUUUCAUUUUUAGGACAAAGUGUCCAUUUCAAAAACUAAUAGACCUGCUUAAAAUUUGAACUAAAACUUAAAAGGUAGGGGUAUUUUACCCUAAAAUAUUAUGUUUUUGAUUAGAUUUUAGACCUUAAGCUAUGUGUUGAUAUGUUUUGACACUGAAUAUUGGUUAAUGUGGUGCAUACUAGUUGCAUUAAGAUGAAUAUUGAAAUAACAAAUCGUUUUGGAAGUCCAAAUUUGGAGUUAGGUAGUUUGAAGUGUUGAAAGUUUGCCUUUAGGAGAAAAUGUAUUGAUAAAUUCCUUGAUCUAUCAAUACAUUCAUGGCAGAAUGCCUUGGCAAAGCUUUCUAUCAAUACAUUCUAGAAUGUUUCGAUAGAUUUGGGCCAGGAGGCAUUCUAUAUGAAAACUCUCGAACAUUACAAGAACGUAUUGAUAGAUUUAAAAAGAUGGAUAUUUUGUAAAAAAGGUAUUUAUAGAUUUUCUUGAUCGAUCGAUACAUUUCAAGCAUAAAGCAUUCUUUUAAAUUUACUUCAAUAUGUUGGUACAUGUAUCGAUAGAUCUGAUGAAAAUUCGUGAAAAUGUAUCAAUGCAUGAUUGUAAGUCAGCAAAAAUAAAAGAGACUUUGGGCAUUCCACCCAUUUGAAAACACAAGGAAACAAAAGCUUUCCCUCCUUGCCUUUGAAACCCUAAAACCCCCUAGUAGAUUGGAACUAAUUUGGAGUACUUGGAAGCUUGGAAAUUCAUACUUAAGGUAAGAUCAAGCUUCCUAACAUUUUGAAUUACAUUUUAAUCGGUUCAAAAAUGAGAAUUUGACUAUGGUUUCAUCUCAAUUAUCUUCUCCUUGAGUUGUUGGGAUUUUGGAGUCUUAAGGGCUUAGAAUAGCUGCCAAGGUGAGGAAACCUAACUGUUUUGAACAUUGGAAACAAUGAAACCUAUGAUUUGGAUUGGUAGUUGGAUUUAGAAGCUCAGUUAGGCUUAGAAAAUCUGUGCAUGCUUUGAAAAAAGCUAAAGGUCUAGAAUUUAUGGAUUUGUUAGGUGAAGUGGGAACUUAGAGCUGUUGAUGAACUGAAAUUCUAUGUGGAAUGAUGGACGCAGUGUUUAGCUGAGUGUGAUGUCUUGGCUUCUUCUUGGAAGAAUGUUGCAGCACUAAAACUUUACUAUUUAGCAAUGUGAGUUACGUUAGAGAUAUUCUAGGUCAGUGGGGCAUUUUAUCUAGAAAUUAAGAUUUGAUGUAUGUAUGCACAAAUGUAUGCAUGUGCACUGCCAUGAAACAUGAUUGGUUGAUAAAAUGCUUAGAUGAACUAUGCAUAGGCCGAUGGGUUGAUUGAGCUCUAUUAUAGCUAUGUAUGUUAAUAAUAAAAACCUGUUUGAUAUUGGGUGAGCCAUGUGGUGGUGAUUGAGCUUGACUGUCUUAGUAUUCGCGACUAAAAAGUCUAUUGACCAUGCCUCUGCGCUUGUAUAAAACUUAUAACUUGAUACCUUUUUCUGUGGUAGCGUAUGAUUAUUGCUAAUUCUACGAAAUAAUGUUAUUAGUGAACUAUGGAAAAUCUGAAUUAUGAAAGUUGAUUGAGUUGCAUUCGUAAUUAUGCAUGUAUGAUGCCAAAUGGCUAUGUUAAUGACUUUUGCACAUGUAAUGGCGACACAAUUCCUAAUGGUAAUUGGUUUCGUCUUACGAGUGCUUUCUGGACGAUGAUAUGGUCUAGUUAGAAGGUGUCAUAGUCCCUGUGGUCUUGCUUACCAUUAGCAGUUUAGGCGUUGGACGUGUUUUGUUUACUUGGGAAGACCCUUCUCUUGUUACCAUCUUGAUGAUAACACAAUUUAAUUAGUUGACUUGACUGUCUUUUCAAUCCAAGACAAGUGAGCGAGAAAAACUGCACCAUUGCUCCAUGAAACCUUACAACUCUUAGACGUGAGUCUUGACCUCAUCGAUAGUUCCUAUCCUUGCUACACUCCUUGUGGAAAAAGCCUACCACUCGGCAGAAGAUAUGGUAUGCAUCUCCCUCAUCAUACAUGCACCUUAACAUAGGGUCAUGUAUCUCUUAAAUUGUAGGAUGAAGAUGAAGUCUUCGGUUUACAUUGAUGCUUUCUCAUUGCACCAAUCGAUGUUCCUCUCCACAUUAUUUCAUUCUUCAGUCAAAUUAUUCAUUGUUAACAACUAACGGAAAUGUAAGUGUGGAUUAUUCACGUGACAUGUUAAAUAAUUUUUACCAUGAUAUUUUAUUACUGUUAACAGUACAAUCUGAUAAAAAGAAUAAAAUGAAACCAUUUUAAAAUAUUAUGUGUAAAAUAUAUGAAAAAAGAUUAUAGAUUUAAUUUGAUUACAUUGCUGCCGGACUUACCAAAAUAAUUGUAGAAGCAUGUCUAAUGAUUAUAGGCAUAGCUCUUCAAAGAAAAAUACUGUUUUAUACUUAACAAAAAGAUAAAUGUAAAAUAUAAAAUUGAUCAAUUUUGUUUAGAAUUAUUAUUUUAUAUAUUUUGAAAUUUUGAAAUUUCAAAAUAUAUAAUAUUAUUUAAGUCGUAUUAUAUAUUAUAUAAUUGAAGGGUUAUAUUAAUCGCCUUACUGUGCAGAUAUACUUGGAUGAAUUAUAAAGAUUUCUUUUCUAUUAGUUUCGCUACGUAUCAAUUGGUUGGACACAUUUUAUAAUAAAUAUAAGAGACCAUCAUAGUGCUUCUUCACAAACUAGGACCUUAAUCUCCUUCUCUCCCGCUGAAAUUUUAGGAUGCCAAGAGCAAAACUUCCAUUAUUUUGCCUCUUGGCUUUUGCUUUAUCUCUAUUCCCCGACUGAGGCUCUUCUAUCUGUGGAAAUGUUACCAUCAAAAAGCCCUUUAAGUUAAAAAGCCAACCUCUCAGGUGUGGAAACCGUGAGCUAGUAGUCGAGUGUGACGAUAAUAACCACACCAUUUUCCCCAUGAAAUAUGGGAAAUUCCUUGUCCAAGACAUCUCUUAUAAUAACGGUACAAUUCAACUUUUAGACGAGAGUCUUGGCAAUGAUAACUGCUCCAUUCCUCAUAGGUCCUAUCCUUUGUACAUCCCUUUUGCGAAAAAACAACGUCUCUAUGAAGAUACCACUGAAUUUAGCAUCAUGUAUCUCGUAAAGUGCACGAUGCAGAUCAACUACUCUCGGGUUUAUAUCGAUGCUUUUCGUUGCACCAAUACUCCUUCCUCUCUACCUCCUUACUUGUAUUUUUUGGAUAAAAAAACAGCAAAGUCUGAUUUCCAUGAGUCAUGCAGAAUUGAAGCCCAGGUUCCAAUCAUGGUUGCCAGUAUCACUGGCCUCUCUACUUCUGAUAUUUACACAAAACUGUUGACGGGGUUCCGACUCUCAUGGUGGGAUUAUGCUUAUCAGUUUGGCUGGCUGCGGUGGGACUCAAUUGUUAACGUGUGAGGAUCUUUAAGUAUUCCAAAAUAUUUGGUGCUGUUUAGUUUUUGGAAAUGUUAACUAUUUUUAUUAUAAAUAAACAAAUAAGAUAAAAAUUUUAGUCUUUAUUUCUUUUUAAAAAGUUGACAACAUUUUUAAAUUACUAUUUUAACUAUGUAUAUUAAUUUGUUAUCUAAAAUUUAAACUCGAUAUUUUUAAAGAAUUACAGACUUUAAUUCUAUUAAUGUAGUGUCUACUUCAGACUUCAAUUAUUUCCUUUAAAUAUGUUUAGUGUAAAAUUUAAAGAUAAGGAUUUAAAGCAUUUUUAACAGUAAAAGUGUGCAUUCCAUUUAACUUAUUAAGGAUUAGCGGUUUUGAUGUUCUUUCUUGAAUAUUAAUUAUAGAUUGCUAUGGGUUUUAAAAAAAAAAGGAAGUAUAGAUUGCUAUCCUUGGUCAACCUUUUGCUGGCUCCGCUGUUUAUAUUUAUUGAAAGCAACGCGGCUCUUCUGCUAGGCAUCCCAACAGAGGAUUCAUUGGUAGAUAACAAAGGUGUUCUUUCUUUUCUGAGUUUGUUACUAUUUUGAUUAUUAUUGGAUUUACCUUUACUUUCCUAGGAUCUAUUAACACUUAGUUCUCGAAUCGGUAAAAUCUUAGCAUGAAUCCAGAUUUAUAUUUAUAUAUCAUUAAUUUAACAAUUGUAUUUCGUAAUCUAUUUACUUAUAUCAUGCAUGAUAAAUUUUAAGUUAAUUGAAAAUAUUUAAUUAUUUAAAUGAGAACAUUAAAAUUUUGACCAUUAAAUAUAUAUUAAAAAACCAAUAUUCUUGAGCAAUACGAUAUGGAUUAUCACAUUGAUUUGAAAUUUUAAAUGUAUGAUGAGUACGAAUAGUGUAUGAAAUUAUAAAAAGGUGUAAAACUUAAUUAAUUUUUAACUUGAGCCCUCAAAUUUAUAUAGUUUGUAUGAGUAUUGCAUAUAAAGUAUAUGUAUGUACAAAGAGAUUCCAAUAAAGGAUAAAAUUAUUUAAUAAGAGACGAUAUACUAUAAAUAAUUCAUGAAUAAUAUUGAACUACAUUAAUUGGGUUUUUUUCAGUUAGGUAUUUCUAUGUUGUUACGAUUUUUUUGGUCAAAAUAAAAAUUUUGUCCAAGUUUAUCAUAUUACUUGAAUGAGUACAAUUUUGUCAAUAUACUUUUAAAUUUGUUAAAAGAGAUCAAAAGUUACAAAAUGAACUAAAAUGUACAAUGAUAAAUAUUACACUCGUUAAAAAAAUAAAUAGUAAAUUUGAUCCAUCACCUUAAGUCUAGUGGUGAUAAAUUUAAACCUUAUCUCAAAUUAUUUUAUGAAGUUUGUUUGUGAAAUAUGGCAACAUAUACACAAAUUAAGUUAGUAACUAGCAUGUACAUAUUCUAUAAUCUUGUUGUCCAACUAAUUGGUUUAUAUAUAUGUUUUGUACUCUCUUUUUUUUUUUAUGAGAAACAGGAAUUAUAUUGUUAAGAACUUUUUUGGAGAUAACUUGCUUGAUUGUAUUUGUUAUACACAAAUUAAAAAUGUGGCAUUUGUCUAUGGAUGACAAGAUUGAGAAUUUUCUUCAGAGUCAAAACAAUUUAAUGCCUAUAAGAGACUCUUAUUCUGAAAUAAAAAGAAUAACAGAUGGCUUCAACAAUAAAUUAGGUCAAGGAGGAUAUGGCUCUAUAUUUAAAGGAAAACUUCGAAGUGAUCAACUUGUUGCAAUAAAAUUGUUAAACAAAUCAAAAGCUAACACCCAAGAUUUCACCAAUGAAGUUGCAACUAUUGGAAGGAUUCAUCAUGUUAAUGUGGUAAGACUUAUUGGAUUUUACGUGAAGGGAUCAAAACAAGCUCUUGUAUAUGACUUCAUGAAGAAUGGGUCCUUGGAUAAAAUUAUAUUUUCAACUGAAAAUAACACUUUGAGUUGAGAAAAAAUGUUUGAGAUUGCAUUGGGAGUGGCUCAAGGUAAUGACUAUUUACAUAAAGGCUGUGAAAUGCAAAUUUUUCACUUUGAUAUCAAGCCACAUAACAUUCUUCUAGAUGAGAAUUUUACUCCAAAAGUUUCAGAUUUUGGCCUCGCAAAUUUGUAUUCAGUGGAUGAUGAUAUUAUUUCUCUCACAGCAGCACGAGGUACGCUAGGAUAUAUGGCUUCUGAAUUGUUUUACAAAAAUAUCAGAGGUAUAUCAUAUAAAGCUGAUGUUUAUAGUUUUGGAAUGAUGAUAAUGGAAAUUAUCGGAAGGAGAAAAAAUUUGAAUGCCUCUGCUGAACAUUCAAGUCAAAUUUAUUUUUCAUCAUAGAUUUUUGAUCAAUUAGAUGAAGGAGAUACCAUGGAGCUUGGAGAUGUGACAGAAAUUGAAAACAAAAUUAUGAGGAAAAUGGUAAUAGUAACCUUAUGGUGCAUACAGAUGAAGCCCACAGAUCGUCCUUCAAUGAGCAAAGUCUUGAAGAUGCUUGAAAGUGAAGUUGAGCUCCUUGAAAUGCCUCCCAAGCCUUCUUUCUCCGGAAAUAUCAACUAAAGAUAGUAAAAAUUCUCCCUGCACACGUGGCAAUCGGCCUUCCUCAGCUACCU
rnacentral:lncRNA from 1 species